rnacentral:rRNA from 1 species
UGCCAGACUCCUACGGGAGGCAGCAGUGGGGAAUAUUGCACAAUGGGGGAAACCCUGAUGCAGCGACGCCGCGUGAGUGAAGAAGUAUUUCGGUAUGUAAAGCUCUAUCAGCAGGGAAGAAAAUGACGGUACCUGACUAAGAAGCCCCGGCUAACUACGUGCCAGCAGCCGCGGUAAUACGUAGGGGGCAAGCGUUAUCCGGAUUUACUGGGUGUAAAGGGGGCGCAGACGGCGAUGCAAGCCAGGAGUGAAAGCCCGGGGCCCAACCCCGGGACUGCUCUUGGAACUGCGUGGCUGGAGUGCAGGAGGGGCAGGCGGAAUUCCUGGUGUAGCGGUGAAAUGCGUAGAUAUUAGGAGGAACACCAGUGGCGAAGGCGGCCUGCUGGACGAUGACUGACGUUGAGGCUCGAAAGCGUGGGGAGCAAACAGGAUUAGAUACCCCGGUA